AAAAUGCCUCUCUCCAACACAACCUUUGCCCCUCUUUUUUCUCUGCACCUAACAAAAGAAAGAAAACGAAGGAGGUCAUACUUCUGGAGGUCUCAAACUCUGAAUCCAAACUCUGGCAUGAGGAUCAGCUUCAUGCUGCAGAGGGGGGCCAGCCAAGAACAGACCGAAAUAGCCCUGACACGCGGCUGACCCACGUCACCCACACCAGUCCUCUGUGACCAGGAUGCCCAGUACUGCCUGAAACUUCUUGGGGUACUAUGUAAACAGCACAUAUUUUAAAACUUGGAACCAGAUUUCAAAGGUGCUUUGUAAUUAUAAUUAAACUCAAAAGAUUCUCUCUAUUUUGUGGUUGUGGAUAUAGCUGUUUGUGAAAGGGGCUAGAAAGCCCGUUUAACAAAGCAGUUACGACCUUGAAACUGGAGAAACUGCCUCCAAUCCUGCUUGGAACAAGGUUGGGUAUGAAAAUCAAUAGCAGCCUGGGCUUCUUCCUGGAGACUGUUGACAAAGGAACUUGAGAAGGCAAAAACCCCUUUAACCCACUGGAGGACGCGCUGAAGGCUGGGGAGAACGACAUUCUGCUGGUGAUGGAUGAGCAGCUCACUCCCCUCCGAGCCCGCGAUUAGAGACAGCUCCACCAGCCCAUGGAUCUCAGAUGCUCAAACUGCUGAAAGAGAGCUGGGGGAGCCGCCUGCCUACCCCCUCCUUCGGAUGAUUGUUCUGCUGGAGAAGCCACAGCUUUCCAGAAACUCCUUACCCUCUCCAGGUGCCUCGCAGCCCUCAGGGUGCGGAAGCCUCAAAUGAACCAAGAGCUCUUGUUGCAGCCUGAGCUGCCUGCCUCUUAUCCUCUUCUCCACAGUCCACAGAUCUCAACAUCGUGGAAGAAAAAGUCUAUUAUACUUGAAAACUCAUAGUGAGGAGAGCUUGACGUUUCCCCCUGUGCAGAAAAGAAAAAGAAAGAUCCCAUUUUCUUAAAAGUUUUCCUUAUAGAUUCUUUUGAUGUGCUAAUUUCAGGUCUUGUCCUAGAUCUUGAGAAUAAAAGAACCAACAAUAAGUAUCCUUUGUGCCAGUGUCCCUUGGACACUGUCUCUCUGUCACUCACACACACCCCCCCUCUGCUGAACCCACAGUUUUUCUGCCAACUCUAUUCCACGUAUCAUCCCCUCCUCUCCACCCCACGUCCCCCCCAGCACCAGGCUCUCACCGUCUCCCACCAGGACUAGCACACAAGCCUCCUGAUUCGGAUCCAUCUCUGUGGUCUCAUAUCUUUCUUUUUUUGGAGGGGAAAUGUGGACUGAAUAUCAGGUUUCAAAUGACUUCUACUUUUUAGUAAAUGUAGCAUCAUGAGAGGGUUUUGGGGUAAGUGAUAAAGAAAUUUUAAUAAUUGAGAGUAGCCAAAAUUCGAGAACUAAGGAAAAUGCAUAAGCCGUUAGGUCUGAUUUGAUAAAAAUACUUUGCAUCCAUGAUUGUCCACCAGCAAUGACAAAUGAAUGCUGUCAGAAAACAUUCCAGUUCAAACUUAAGUGGGCAUAUACAGAAAACUGCAUAUUUAUUAGAUACACACUGGAAUGACCGAAAAUACAUAGAAAUCAUUUGUUUUUAGUUUUAUACGAUAUUUUACAAAUGGAGUGGAGCAGCUCUAUACCUUCUGGCACAAUCAUCAAACAUUUAUUGUAUUUAGCAGAUGUAAGACCAUUGUGCAAGAAUGAAUGCAUGGUUAUAACGUCUCUAAAGGAGUUAAACAUGGGUUUUCAAAAAAGACAGGAUCAUUUGGCAACUUUGGAUCUAUGAACAACAUUAAUUUGAUUGCAUUUGGUUCUCAUCCCUUUGCUGCAGGAAUCAGUAGUUUCUUCUUUUCACUGUUGUGUGGGAUUCUGUUGCGCGGAAGUACCACGGUCGGUUUGUCCAUUCACCAGCUGAAGGACAUCUGGGUGGUUUCCAGGUUUGGGGAUUAUGAAUCAAGCCAUUAUGUACAGUUACGUGCAGGUUUUUGUGAGAGCGUAACUUCAUUUAUCCUGGGUAAAUACCUGAGUGGGGUGCUGUAUGAGCGUUGUGGUUUCUCCACAUCCUUGCCAGCACAUUGUAUUGUCAGAUUUUAAAACAUUAAAAAUAAAUGUUUAGC
ensembl:lncRNA